rnacentral:rRNA from 1 species
UACGGAGGGUGCAAGCGUUAUCCGGAUUUACUGGGUUUAAAGGGUGCGCAGGCGGAUAUGUAAGUCAGUGGUGAAAUCUCCGUGCUUAACAUGGAAACUGCCAUUGAUACUACUGAUCUUGAAUUUUCUGGAGGUAAGCGGAAUAUGUCAUGUAGCGGUGAAAUGCUUAGAUAUGACAUAGAACACCAAUUGCGAAGGCAGCUUGCUACAGGGAUAUUGACACUGAGGCACGAAAGCGUGGGGAUCAAACAGG